GGAAGUAAAAGUCGUAACAAGGUCUCCGUUGGUGAACCAGCGGAGGGAUCAUUACAGAGUUUACAACUCCCAAACCCUUAUGUGAACAUACCACGAUGUUGCUUCGGCGGACUCGCCCCGGCGUCCGGACGGCCUAGCGCCGCCCGCGGCCCGGAUCCAGGCGGCCGCCGGAGACCACCAAAACUAUUUUGUAUCAGCAGUUUUUUCUGAAUCCGCCGCAAGGCAAAACAAAUGAAUCAAAACUUUCAACAACGGAUCUCUUGGUUCUGGCAUCGAUGAAGAACGCAGCGAAAUGCGAUAAGUAAUGUGAAUUGCAGAAUUCAGUGAAUCAUCGAAUCUUUGAACGCACAUUGCGCCCGCCAGCAUUCUGGCGGGCAUGCCUGUUCGAGCGUCAUUUCAACCCUCGACUUCCCUUUGGGGAAAUCGGCGUUGGGGACUGGCAGCAUACCGCCGGCCCCGAAAUGGAGUGGCGGCCCGUCCGCGGCGACCUCUGCGUAGUAAUCCAACCUCGCACCGGAACCCCGACGUGGCCACGCCGUAAAACACCCCACUUUCUGAACGUUGACCUCGGAUCAGGUAGGAAUACCCGCUGAACUUAAGCAUAUCAUAGCGGAGGA
rnacentral:rRNA from 1 species